CCAGGCUCUUUCCACUACGUGCCUCGCUGCGAGGCGCAUAGUGGAAAGAGCCUGGGU
rnacentral:miRNA from 1 species